UAUCGUAUGCGCGCGUUUGGUGCCCGCACAUGCGUUCGCGUGUGCAGUUAAACGGGAAACAGGCAGCGCGUCGCGCGUUCAACCUGUGCUGUCCCCGCAACGGUAAGCGACCUGCGGCGCGCGUUUCGAUCCUGCCUUCGAUUCCGACGUGCCGUGCAUGCGUUUUUUUGAUGCCACUGUCCAGCGAAUCCGCAGAUUCGCAAACACGGACGGGAAGGCGAAGCGCGUGAGGCCGCCAGCCCGGAUACCGGCCAGACGCGGAGGCGGCGC
rnacentral:ncRNA from 2 species